UGGGGAAUUUUGGACAAUGGGCGAAAGCCUGAUCCAGCAAUGCCGCGUGUGUGAAGAAGGCCUUCGGGUUGUAAAGCACUUUUGUCCGGAAAGAAAUCCUUGGCUCUAAUACAGUCGGGGGAUGACGGUACCGGAAGAAUAAGCACCGGCUAACUACGUGCCAGCAGCCGCGGUAAUACGUAGGGUGCAAGCGUUAAUCGGAAUUACUGGGCGUAAAGCGUGCGCAGGCGGUUUGCUAAGACCGAUGUGAAAUCCCCGGGCUCAACCUGGGAACUGCAUUGGUGACUGGCAGGCUAGAGUAUGGCAGAGGGGGGUAGAAUUCCACGUGUAGCAGUGAAAUGCGUAGAGAUGUGGAGGAAUACCGAUGGCGAAGGCAGCCCCCUGGGCCAAUACUGACGCUCAUGCACGAAAGCGUGGGGAGCAAAACAGGAUUAGAUACCCUGGUAGUCCACGCCCUAAACGAUGUCAACUAGUUGUUGGGGAUUCAUUUCCUUAGUAACGUAGCUAACGCGUGAAGUUGACCGCCUGGGGAGUACGGUCGCAAGAUUAAAACUUAAAUGAAUUG
rnacentral:rRNA from 1 species